rnacentral:rRNA from 1 species
UACAGGGGUCCCAAGCGUUGUUCGGAUUCACUGGGCGUAAAGGGUGCGUAGGCGGUCGGGUAAGUCUGAUGUGAAAUCUCACAGCUUAACUGUGAAACUGCAUUGGAUACUAUCCGGCUAGAGGAAUGGAGGGGAGACUGGAAUACUUGGUGUAGCAGUGAAAUGCGUAGAUAUCAAGUGGAACACCAGUGGCGAAGGCGAGUCCUCGUGGACAUUCCUGACGCUGAGGCACGAAAGCCAGGGAGGCAAACGGG